GACAAGAAAACUCCUCCAAAGAAAAUAAGAAGAGUCCUUUCACCACAACAAAAAUUUCAACUCUUCCCCAACAGCAUUUCCAAGCAGAAGGCGGAGUAAGCAAAUUCUCCCAGGAAGAUGCCAAUGCCUUGUUUCAUCCACCAGCAAGAAAGUUCCUGCCACUUUCCAGAAUGUAAACUUUAAGUCAAUAACUCCUAUGUGUUACAGACCAAUCUACAUGUAGUAUACUCCAGUAUAAAUUUAUACCCUACAAGAAUUUUCUCAAGAUAUGAUUCAAGCACCUAAGAAUGAACAAAGUAACCUACAAAGCAGCUAUUGAUUUCCCAAGGGGGUGCUUGCAAUAGGAAAUCAGUUGGCAGCAUGCAGAAUUAGGGCUUUAAUUGCUCCUAAACCAAAACAAGUUGGAACUAUAUUUUUAGCCUUUCACAGUGCUGUUCACCCCUGGAGAAACACUGGGAUAGGUGCCUAUAAAUUGAUGCAACAGACCCUUUGGCCUGAGCCACCAAGAGACUGACCAUCCUUCAAGAAAGAGUGUAUACAUCUGAAGGACAAACUGAAAGUCAGUUUUGCUGCCUAUGGAAGCCAAUCAAAACACAUGAAAAUGAGGUAUUUCACUCCAGAUGAUAACUACAAAAGAAUUGUGGAUUUCGGUACACAUUCAGCAAAAUCUCCCUUGUACUAUUAUAAGAGACAGUAAACUUCUGGGACUGAACAGAGCAUUGCACCGAGGCAGAGUCAAGCUCUACCCUGGUGCUGGAACAGGUACCUGUCCUUUGUGCCACCUCCUCUGGAGCAUCAGGCACAUUUGGGGAAAGGCAGGAAAAGGAGCACAAGCAGCUGUGUUCUGUUGGGAAGCAAUGAAGUACAUACCGGAGAUGACAAGACUAUACCACUCCUUCUCAUCCUCUUGCUGUAAAUAGCCUCCAAUUAUUAUUAUUAUCUUAGACCUUCAGCUCAGCUCUCUAAUGAAAGGUUUUGCUUUAGCAAAUUCAGAGCGGCCUUGGAAGAAUGUUUAUAAUGAAAUGCUUCAGGAGCCGAGAAGGUAUUCAGCAAACGACUUGCUUGGGUGAGAACAGCUUUAUGAAAUUCCCAUGCUGGCAGCAGUGAGUAUAAGGAAUAACCAAUGCAAACAUCACACCCUCGUGGACUUGAUGCCUCUGCUUGGUGAGGACCAGAGCUACUUGCAAGGGGUGAAGCAGCUGCGGCUCUCUUGGUCCUUCUGCCCUGGGAAGCUCCAGCUGUCUUUGAGGAGAUGAAGACGUGGCUGGUGCUUUCAUACAGAAAGGCAUCUGAUAAUCGGAGGUGGGAAGGCAGCUCAGAAAAUGUGAUAAUCACAGCCCCAUUGCUAAUGCAGAUAACAACCUUUCUCAGUCAUUUCUCUGACAGUGUAUCUUUUUCUGCCUCAUUGGAGACCAAGGUGGGGAAUCAGGGCUGCUAUUCAUACACCCAUCCUCCAGCCUCCUUCUUUUUUUUUUUCUUUUUUUUUUUUUUUUCCCCAAAUAGGAUUCCAGAUGGCCAACAAUUUUGAUUCAGGUGAACAGCUCAUUUAGCAGUACUGGGCUGAUGUUUCGGAGAUUUCAAGAGCAAACAGCAACUCAGAAGCAAAAAUAACAUAGGAAGGGAAGCAAUAAAAUAUUGAAAUAGUGAUGGAUGUGCACCUGAGUCCUGUCUCAGAAAAAAUCUCAUGAAUUUUAAGGGUCUUCAGACUUACCUAGAGGAAACCUUUACUCACUAUACAACUGCAAGUACCUAUGAAUUCAAAAAGAACUGGAACAGGCUUUCUGGAAUAUUUUAAUACAAUGAAAUGUAUUUUUCAUAAUACAUCUUUCAUGCAAAAUGUCAAAUACAGUUUGCAGAGAAAAUCAAGCAGCAGCCAAAGAGGAAAAGAAGGUCUGAAGGUGAAGGAGCAAGUACCAGUGAGGAGUGACAGAAUGUCAGAGAGCAGGGCUCCUCCAUGCCCCUGGUUGUUUAUUUAUUUUUAUCGCUGCUAACCAUAUUGCAGCAGUGAUUUAUUUAGAUAUUUAUUUAUUUAAAUGCUUAGAUUUAUGGAGAAAUAAAUGACCCUGAAGUUGUUUAUUGGAAACUUCCCUCCUCCUCAUUGUUUUUUUUCACUACUUAAACUGUGUGCUUGGGGGAGCAGAGAGAGGCGUGUAAGAGUCACCUGAGCUCCAAGAGCUUUCUUCUUUUACAAAUUACUUCUCCCUUACAUGAAGGUUUGCAGAUUCAGGGUCUUCAUUUAUUUAUUGGGGUUCAAGGCCCAAAUCUUCUCACUUGGCUUUCUUAUUCAGCAAAAAAAAAAUAAAUUAGGUAUAUAAACUUCGGCAACAGGAGCAGAAUUUAUGAGGACAUCUGUCCAGUCGUCUAUGUCACACCCCAGCAGGACUUUCAACGCAGAAAGAAGAAACCCAUUGCUGCAGAGCUGCUAAGACCUCUCCUGGUUUCCACAGCUGUAUAUUUAAUCACUGAAUAGCCCCAGUAGGGACCAGAGUCUUUCCCCACUAUAUAUUUACACCAGUAAAUAUGUAGAUUUUUCCCUUUAAUGCUGUUGCUCUUAAUUAAAAGCUUUGUGGGAGCAGAAUGUGACCCAGUAUGAUCAUUUCCAGGAAGGGCUAAGCUCCUAACUCUUGGAUGAACUCUUCUUUUUGCAUCAUUGUGUUAUGAAAUGG
ensembl:lncRNA